GAACAAUUGAAGUCUAGUUUAUGGCUUCUGCUCGACCCGCAGGAUAUCGAGGUCUUGAAAUAUUACCAGCUCUCCAUCCUACGGAUGCACCCUAAUGUUUGGAGAUUACUCUCGGCUUUUCGAGCGUUGUGCUGAAGAAAGAGGGUGCAUGCAUCCACUCGGAUCUUCUCUUGCUUCUUCCAAUUAAAUACUUGGAAGAUCGAGGAGUAUUGAGAUUUCAUGCCUGGAAGGGGAUGAGGCUUUUCGCCAACCUUCCGUUGUCUUUGAAAAAGUGGAAAGAUAGGUUUCUCUUUAUCGAAGAUACGGUGGACGAACAGUGGGGCGACAUCUGAACAAGUUGGAACUAUCUAGUCGACAAGAGGGCGGGAAAGUUGAGACUUAAUGCCAAAGAAAAGGCUGUAGUGAAGGAGCUUAAAGCUAUUAUUCGGCAAGACAAGAUAUCGAU
rnacentral:misc_RNA from 1 species